CCUACGGGGGGCAGCAGUGGGGAAUAUUACACAAUGGGCGCAAGCCUGAUGCAGCCAUGCCGCGUGUGUGAAGAAGGCCUUCGGGUUGUAAAGCACUUUCAGCGGGGAGGAAGGCGGUGAGGUUAAUAACCUCAUCGAUUGACGUUACCCGCAGAAGAAGCACUGGCUAACUCCGUGCCAGCAGCCGCGGUAAUACGGAGGGUGCAAGCGUUAAUCGGAAUUACUGGGCGUAAAGCGCACGCAGGCGGUCUGUCAAGUCGGAUGUGAAAUCCCCGGGCUCAACCUGGGAACUGCAUUCGAAACUGGCAGGCUAGAGUCUUGUAGAGGGGGGUAGAAUUCCAGGUGUAGCGGUGAAAUGCGUAGAGAUCUGGAGGAAUACCGGUGGCGAAGGCGGCCCCCUGGAUAAAGACUGACGCUCAGGUGCGAAAGCGUGGGGAGCAAACAGGAUUAGAUACCCGAGUAGUC
rnacentral:rRNA from 1 species